rnacentral:rRNA from 1 species
CCUACGGGUGGCAGCAGUGGGGAAUUGUUCACAAUGGGCGCAAGCCUGAUGACGCAACGCCGCGUGGAGGAUGAAGGUCUUCGGAUUGUAAACUCCUGUUGCUCGGGACGAAAAGCUUUGACCUAACACGUCAAAGUCUGACGGUACCGAGUGAGGAAGCCCCGGCUAACUCUGUGCCAGCAGCCGCGGUAAUACAGAGGAGCCAAGCGUUGUCCGGAUUGACUGGGCGUAAAGCGCACGCAGGCGGACGCGCGCGUGGGGUGUGAAAUCUGGCCGCUUAACGGCCAGGCGCCAUCCCAUACGGCGCGUCUGGAGCCAUGCAGAGGGCGGUGGAAUUGCCGGUGUAGUGGUGAAAUGCGUAGAGAUCGGCAGGAACACCCAGGGGGAAACCAGCCGCCUGGGCAUGCGCUGACGCUGAGGUGCGAGAGCGUGGGGAGCGAACCGGAUUAGAUACCCUAGUAGUCCC